rnacentral:rRNA from 1 species
CCCCUAAAAGCCAUCCCAGUUCGGAUUGCAGGCUGNAACCCGCCUGUAUGAAGUUGGAAUCGCUAGUAAUCGCGGAUCAGCAUGCCGCGGUGAAUACGUUCCCGGGCCUUGUACACACCGCCCGUCACACCAUGAGAGUCGGGAACACCCGAAGUCCGUAGCCUAACCGCAAGGAGGGCGCGGCCGAAGGUGGGUUCGAUAAUUGGGGUGAAGUCGUAACAAGGUACC